rnacentral:rRNA from 1 species
ACUCCUACGGGAGGCAGCAGUAGGGAAUCUUCCACAAUGGGCGCAAGCCUGAUGGAGCAACACCGCGUGAGUGAAGAAGGGUUUCGGCUCGUAAAGCUCUGUUGUUAAAGAAGAACACGUAUGAGAGUAACUGUUCAUACGUUGACGGUAUUUAACCAGAAAGUCACGGCUAACUACGUGCCAGCAGCCGCGGUAAUACGUAGGUGGCAAGCGUUAUCCGGAUUUAUUGGGCGUAAAGAGAGUGCAGGCGGUUUUCUAAGUCUGAUGUGAAAGCCUUCGGCUUAACCGGAGAAGUGCAUCGGAAACUGGAUAACUUGAGUGCAGAAGAGGGUAGUGGAACUCCAUGUGUAGCGGUGGAAUGCGUAGAUAUAU